rfam:Rattus norvegicus chromosome 13, whole genome shotgun sequence.
GGGGAUUUAGCUCAGUGGUAGAGCGCUUGCCUAGCAAGUGCAAAGCCCUGGGUUCGGUCCCCAGCUCCA